GUAGGUGGCAAGCGUUGUCCGGAAUUAUUGGGCGUAAAGCGCGCGCAGGCGGUUCUUUAAGUCUGAUGUGAAAGCCCACGGCUCAACCGUGGAGGGUCAUUGGAAACUGGAGAACUUGAGUACGGAAGAGGAAAGCGGAAUUCCACGUGUAGCGGUGAAAUGCGUAGAGAUGUGGAGGAACACCAGUGGCGAAGGCGGCUUUCUGGUCUGUAACUGACGCUGAGGCGCGAAAGCGUGGGGAGCAAACAGGGAUUAGAUACCCUGGUAGUCCACGCCGUAAACGAUGAGUGCUAAGUGUUAGGGGGGUUUCCGCCCCCUUAGUGCUGCAGCUAACGCAUUAAGCACUCCGCCUGGGGAGUACGGCCGCAAGGCUG
rnacentral:rRNA from 1 species